rnacentral:rRNA from 1 species
UACGGAGGGUGCAAGCGUUAUCCGGAUUCACUGGGUUUAAAGGGUGCGUAGGAGGGCAGGUAAGUCAGUGGUGAAAUCCCCGAGCUUAACUUGGGAACUGCCGUUGAUACUAUCUGUCUUGAAUAUUGUGGAGGUGAGCGGAAUAUGUCAUGUAGCGGUGAAAUGCUUAGAUAUGACAUAGAACACCAAUUGCGAAGGCAGCUCGCUACACAUAUAUUGACUCUGAGGCACGAAAGCGUGGGGGUCAAACAGG